CCUACGGGCGGCAGCAGUGAGGAAUAUUGGUCAAUGGACGAGAGUCUGAACCAGCCAAGUAGCGUGAAGGAUGACUGCCCUAUGGGUUGUAAACUUCUUUUAUAUGGGAAUAAAACGUUCCACGUGUGGGAUUUUGUAUGUACCAUAUGAAUAAGGAUCGGCUAACUCCGUGCCAGCAGCCGCGGUAAUACGGAGGAUCCGAGCGUUAUCCGGAUUUAUUGGGUUUAACGGGAGCGUAGGUGGAUUGUUAAGUCAGUUGUGAAAGUUUGCGGCUCAACCGUAAAAUUGCAGUUGAAACUGGCAGUCUUGAGUACAGUAGAGGUGGGCGGAAUUCGUGGUGUAGCGGUGAAAUGCUUAGAUAUCACGAAGAACUCCGAUUGCGAAGGCAGUUCACUGGACUGCAACUGACACUGAGGCUCGAAAGUGUGGGUAUCAAACAGGAUUAGAGACCCCUGUAGUC
rnacentral:rRNA from 1 species